ACCCGGCUAGCUCAGUCGGUAGAGUACGAGACUCUUAAUCUCGGGGUUGUAGGUUCGAGUCCCACGUUGGGCG
rnacentral:tRNA from 1 species